GUGGGGAAUAUUGGGCAAUGGGGGCAACCCUGACCCAGCGACGCCGCGUGAGGGAAGAAGGCCUUAGGGUCGUAAACCUCUGUUGUGUGGGAAGAAGGAAGUGACGGUACCACACGAGGAAGUCCCGGCUAACUACGUGCCAGCAGCCGCGGUAAUACGUAGGGGACGAGCGUUGUCCGGAAUUACUGGGCGUAAAGGGCGCGUAGGCGGUCAUUUAAGUCAGCUGUGAAAUGGUCCGGCUCAACCGGAUCAUGCGGUUGAAACUGGAUGACUGGAGUGCUGGAGAGGCAAGUGGAAUUCCCAGUGUAGCGGUGAAAUGCGUAGAUAUUAGGAGGAACACCAGUGGCGAAAGCGGCUUUCUGGACGACAACUGACGCUGAGGCGCGAAAGCCAGGGGAGCAAACGGGAUUAGAUACCCCUGUAGUCC
rnacentral:rRNA from 1 species